GAAGGUGGUGGUGCUAUGCGGCGGGCUGGGCGGCGGUAGGCGUAUCAGUGGCAUUUCCCAGCUUAGGUCGAGAGAAAGUGGCCUCGAGUUGGACCAAGGGUGAUUUAAAUUGGGUAUUAGGAAGAACUUUUUCACUGAAGGGGUAGUUGAACACUUGAAUGGGCUCCCCGGGUGGGUGGUGGAGUCACCAUCCAUGGGGAUAUUUAAAAGCUACGUAGCUGAAGUGGUGAGCUCAGCAGUGUGAGCUCAGUGGUUAGACUUGGUGAUCUUAAAGGCCUUUUCCAACAAAAGUGAUUAUUUGCUCCCCUAGCAGGGUUGGGAGACAGCACCAGCCAUGGCACUUCUGGACUGUCAGUCUCCCUCAGUGCUCGUUCCCCUGAACCACAGAACCUUUCUCUGUUAGUGAGGUCCAUAUUUUGCCUCCAAAAUGGUGUACAGGCUUCUAAGGUAAAUACUACCAUGGGUUGAGUUGCACACAGAUUGCUGGAAGAAGAAAGAACUGAAAAAAUAAACCUCACGUUAACUUCACCUGAGGUGCUUUUUUUUUCCCCUAAUGAGGAUGUAAAGAUUUGUUCAUCUUCACCUGCUCUUCAGAAUG